GAUGAAGAACGUAGCGAAAUGCGAUAAGUAAUGUGAAUUGCAGAAUUCAGUGAAUCAUCGAAUCUUUGAACGCACAUUGCGCCCGCCAGUAUUCUGGCGGGCAUGCCUGUUCGAGCGUCAUUUCAACCAUCAAGCCCCCGGCUUGUGUUGGGGACCUGCGGCUGCCGCAGGCCCUGAAAAGCAGUGGCGGGCUCGCUGUCACACCGAGCGUAGUAGCAUACAUCCCGCUCUGGGCGUGCUGCGGGUUCCGGCCGUUAAACCACCUUCAUAACCCAAGGUUGACCUCGGAUCAGGUAGGAAGACCCGCUGAACUUAAGCAUAUCAAUAAGCGGAGGA
rnacentral:misc_RNA from 1 species